AUUGAACGCUGGCGGCAUGCUUUACACAUGCAAGUCGAACGGCAGCGCGGGCUUCGGCCUGGCGGCGAGUGGCGAACGGGUGAGUAAUGCAUCGGAACGUGCCCAGUAGUGGGGGAUAGCCCGGCGAAAGCCGGAUUAAUACCGCAUGCGACCUGAGGGUGAAAGCGGGGGACCGAAAGGCCUCGCGCUAUUGGAGCGGCCGAUGUCGGAUUAGCUAGUUGGUGGGGUAACGGCUUACCAAGGCGACGAUCCGUAGCUGGUCUGAGAGGACGACCAGCCACACUGGGACUGAGACACGGCCCAGACUCCUACGGGAGGCAGCAGUGGGGAAUUUUGGACAAUGGGGGCAACCCUGAUCCAGCCAUGCCGCGUGCGGGAAGAAGGCCUUCGGGUUGUAAACCGCUUUUGUUCGGGAAGAAAUCCUCUGGGCUAAUACCCCGGGGGGAUGACGGUACCGGAAGAAUAAGCACCGGCUAACUACGUG
rnacentral:rRNA from 1 species